rnacentral:rRNA from 1 species
UUUCCUACGGGGCGCAGCAGUGAGGAAUAUUGGUCAAUGGGCGCAAGCCUGAACCAGCCAAGUCGCGUGAGGGAAGACGGCCCUACGGGUUGUAAACCUCUUUUGCCGGGGAGCAAGCCUGAGCACGUGUGCCCAGGCGGAGAGUACCCGGAGAAAAAGCAUCGGCUAACUCCGUGCCAGCAGCCGCGGUAAUACGGAGGAUGCGAGCGUUAUCCGGAUUUAUUGGGUUUAAAGGGUGCGUAGGCGGGAUGCCAAGUCAGCGGUAAAAAUGCGGUGCUCAACGCCGUCGAGCCGUUGAAACUGGG